rnacentral:rRNA from 1 species
UACGUAGGGUGCGAGCGUUAAUCGGAAUUACUGGGCGUAAAGCGUGCGCAGGCGGUUCGUUAUGUCCGAUGUGAAAGCCCCGAGCUUAACUUGGGAAUGGCAUUGGAAACUGGCGGGCUGGAGUGCGGCAGAGGGGGGUGGAAUUCCACGUGUAGCAGUGAAAUGCGUAGAGAUGUGGAGGAACACCGAUGGCGAAGGCAGCCCCCCUGGGCCGACACUGACGCUCAGGCACGAAAGCGUGGGGAGCAAACAGG